rnacentral:ncRNA from 1 species
AGGAGCCGUGUGAGGGGAAACUUUCACGCACGGUUCUGAACCAGAGGUGGAAACGGUGACGUUUCUAUCGACUGUAAU